UACGAAGGGGGCUAGCGUUGCUCGGAAUCACUGGGCGUAAAGCGCACGUAGGCGGAUUGUUAAGUCAGGGGUGAAAUCCUGGAGCUCAACUCCAGAACUGCCUUUGAUACUGGCAAUCUUGAGUCCGGGAGAGGUGAGUGGAACUGCGAGUGUAGAGGUGAAAUUCGUAGAUAUUCGCAAGAACACCAGUGGCGAAGGCGGCGACCUGGACCGAUACUGACGCUAAUACACGAAAAGCGUGGGGAGCAAACAGG
rnacentral:rRNA from 1 species